GAUGAACGCUGGCGGCGUGCCUAAUACAUGCAAGUCGAGCGAACAGACGAGGAGCUUGCUCCUCUGACGUUAGCGGCGGACGGGUGAGUAACACGUGGAUAACCUACCUCUAUGACUGGGAUAACUUCGGGAAACCGGAUCUAAUACCGGAUCAUAUAUUGAACCGCAUGGAUCAAUAGUGAAAGACGGUUUUGCUGUCACUUAUAGAUGAAUCCGCGCCGCAUUAGCUAGUUGGUAAGGUAACGGCUUACCAAGGCGACGAUGCGUAGCCGACCUGAGAGGGUGAUCGGCCACACUGGAACUGAGACACGGUCCAGACUCCUACGGGAGGCAGCAGUAGGGAAUAUUCCGCAAUGGGCGAAAGCCUGACGGAGCAACGCCGCGUGAGUGAUGAAGGUCCUCGGAUCGUAAAACUCUGUUAUUAGGGAAGAACAAAUGUGUAAGUAACUAUGCACGUCUUGACGGUACCUAAUCAGAAAGCCACGGCUAACUACGUG
rnacentral:rRNA from 1 species